CCUGAGCAAGUAUCCAAGCACUGCAUGCCCUUGUCAGUAUGUCCAGUUACCUUCAUGCCAUGCAAAUGUUAAUCUGCUGGUCAGACUGGCUGCUAUCUGUCACUUAUCUCAGCCCAAGCCCCACAGUGACCAUGGUCAUCUUGCCUUCCUGCCACACCAUGUCUUUCUGGGUGCACUUCGUACAUUUUCUGGCCCACUCCUAGGAUCAGUCUCUUCCCAGGAAGUCCUGGUUCCUCCCCGAGAGUCAGGACCUGGUCGCAGGGCUGCUUUGCGCAUCUGGGUUUGCUGUUGUGUCUGAGUUGUUUCUUGGCCUUGGCUGUCAACACAGUGAAGAAUUACUUUUCUUAUGCCAAAAAGCUCGACUAGUAAUGAUAUUAACAUAAUUGUUUUACAUACGUAAAAAUUUAUAUAUAUAACAUAUAUUGUUUUUAAUAAUGCAUAUUUGUAUAUAAUAUUGUUUUACUGUGUUACAAUAGUUUCCGAGUGACAAGACUACUAAGGCCACUCACCAGGAGGAGUAACCAUUAUGACUGCUGGGGGUCAUUGCUGAGAAUGGUCUAGGAGUUUCAUUACAGAUCCUUUCAUCCUGGGAUAUGGCCCUUUCGGGUAUAUGUCACGUUCCUGUGAUUCAAAGUUAUUGAGACAUUGCUCUAUGGCUAAGUCAUGACCACCUGACCCAGGUCACCAACGGUGAGGAUGCAGCUGUUGUCCUGGAGCCUCUGACUUCCAUCCAAAGGACCCCACGUGCCUUCUGGCCAGCUUCGUGCAGACACACGCUGAGUACAGUGGUCAGCCUGGUGCAAGGCCCCAGAGGAGCAAGUGUGUCCAGGAGGAGACAAGACCAGUGCACAGUGGCGCCUCUUGGCUGAAUGUAUUUAUUCCUGUGACUCAGGCUGCAGUGUUCCUGGCUUGGAAAGAGCCAGGAACUCAGUGAUGAGCUUGCUGCUUCACAUGCUGGGCAUGGGCGGCCUCCAGGCUUGGACUUCCCUUGCAAGAGCAGGGCCUUCUGCCCCUGCCCACCUGGUUGCCAGUGUGGGUGGCUGUGACUAGCCAUGGAUCUUCCCUCUGGGGAUGGCUGUCUCAGCUGCUGGGCUCCAGCUGUCUGCAGGCUUGAUAAAUACCAAAUUGCACGUGUGGGGUUCUUCUUCCCAAGCCCUUGGGCAUGGGGUCUCUGUGCACUUAAGAGCUGGGGACCCACCUGCAUCUCACCCCAUUCCUCCCAGAGCAUGGGUCCCCCUGGGUGGCCGGCCCCUGCCUGCAAAGCCACCUUGUCCAGGAGAUGCUGCUAUGAAUUGCCAGUACUGUGAGGAGGAGGUGAAGGGUAGACCUUGAAAACAGCGCAACGUUAAGAGGAGAAACUGGCACUGCUGUUUGUAAGAGUGCAUUCCUUCCCCUUUCUGUCACUUUAUAGACCAAAAAG
rnacentral:lncRNA from 1 species